rnacentral:lncRNA from 10 species
UGCUCUCCUUCGUCAUCUCUGCUCGUAAGGGAUGGCAGCUGGAGGCUGGAAUCCCCUUCCUCCUGGGAACUGCACCCAUGGGUUCCUGAGAGGCAAAGUGGCAGAACAGAAAAUGCUCAGCUUUGGCAUCACCUCCACUUGGGUUCCCAAGUACUGGGCUCCUCUGACUUCGGUUUCUUCAUCGUGAAAUGGGGAUACCCACAUCCAUCUCACAGGAGUUUUCUAAGAAUUAAAUGAGUCUGGCAGGUUGUAAGUGCCCAGUAUAAGAUAUUGCCACCUUCUCUAGUCCAGGUGGUAAGUGAAAACUUAAGGAGCGGAUUUUCCAAAAUCAGCGCCUGCUGCUCCGAGAGCCAAGGGUGCGGUGUUUGCUGCCUCCUUGUGGGAGAGUGUGGCUCCUUGCCUGGCGGAGUCGGAGGAAUAAGUUCUCGGAGGGUAGAGGGACCGUUCCUUCUCCUAGCUCCGCCAAACCCACAUUGGGGGUACUCGCUCAGGGAUCCCGCAGCGGUGCAAAUGCGAAGCCGCGACGCGAGCUGGAACCUGGGGCGGUGCUCUGGCGCGUCGCUAUCCAGGGGAGCUACGUCGAGACGGCAGGCCACUUAGCACCAAUGCAGACCCGGGAGCUUUGAGGAAGCCAGAGGCUUCGGACAGAAGAAACCGCCUGGCAGGCGGAGGAGAAAGGCCAGGGCUUCCCUCCUGAGGUUGAGGCUUGCCGGAGGGAAAUGGCACCGAGGACCUGGGGCGACUGAUUCAGCUUCUACCCCAGGAGCAGAAGUCCCCGCCCUACUCCGGAACUGGCGGUCAACUCCCUCAGGUCACACCCGAGGCAAAAAUGCAAGCUUGUGGAAAUUUUC